rnacentral:rRNA from 1 species
GGCGGUCGGGUGAGUAAUGCGUAGGAAUUUACCUCAAAGCGGGGGAUAGCCCGGAGAAAUCCGGAUUAAUACCGCAUGUGCUCUACGGAGGAAAGCGGGCCUCUACUUGUAAGCUCGCACUUUGAGAUAAGCCUACGUCGGAUUAGCUUGUUAGUGGGGUAAAAGCCUACCAAGGCGACGAUCCGUAGCUGGUUUGAGAGGAUGAUCAGCCACACUGGGACUGAGACACGGCCCAG